CGGAAUGUGAGGCCGCCUCAGUUGGCGGCCUCUUUUCCUUCACGGGUUGCCUUGUCUCGAUAGUCUUCUAGUUUCUGGAUCGCAUUCGCCGCCAGCACGCCGCGGCGCGCAAGGCGGAGGUUCAAAUCCUCUCGCUCCGACCA
rnacentral:tRNA from 1 species